rnacentral:rRNA from 1 species
GACGAACGCUGGCGGCGUGCCUAAUACAUGCAAGUUGAGCGCUGAAGGCUGGUACUUGUACCAACUGGAUGAGCAGCGAACGGGUGAGUAACGCGUGGGGAAUCUGCCUUUGAGCGGGGGACAACAUUUGGAAACGAAUGCUAAUACCGCAUAAAAACUUUAAACACAAGUUUUAAGUUUGAAAGAUGCAAUUGCAUCACUCAAAGAUGAUCCCGCGUUGUAUUAGCUAGUUGGUGAGGUAAAGGCUCACCAAGGCGAUGAUACAUAGCCGACCUGAGAGGGUGAUAGGCCACAUUGGGACUGAGACACGGCCCAAACUCCUACGGGAGGCAGCAGUAGGGAAUCUUCGGCAAUGGACGAAAGUCUGACCGAGCAACGCCGCGUGAGUGAAGAAGGUUUUCGGAUCGUAAAACUCUGUUGGUAGAGAAGAACGUUGGUGAGAGUGGAAAGCUCAUCAAGUGACGGUAACUACCCAGAAAGGGACGGCUAACUACGUG